GAACUGCGAUAAGUAAUGUGAGUUGCAGAAUUCAGUGAAUCAUCGAGUCUUUGAACGCACAUUGCGCCCCCUGGCAUUCCGGGGGGCAUGCCUGUCCGAGCGUCAUUGCUGCCAUUCAAGCCCGGCUUGUGUGUUGGGUCGUCGUCCCCUCCGGGGGACGGGCCCGAAAGGCAGCGGCGGCACCGCGUCCGGUCCUCGAGCGUAUGGGGCUUUGUCACCCGCUCGAUAAGGACCGGCCGGGCGCCAGCCGGCGUCUCCAACCUUUUUUUCUCAGGUUGACCUCGGAUCAGGUAGGGAUACCCGCUGAACUUAAGC
rnacentral:misc_RNA from 1 species